rnacentral:rRNA from 1 species
GACGAACGCUGGCGACGUGCUUAACACAUGCAAGUCGAACGAUGAAGGAGAGCUUGCUCUCCGGAUUAGUGGCGAACGGGUGAGUAACACGUGACUAACCUGCCCCUUUCUCUGGGAUAACGCUCCGAAAGGAGUGCUAAUACCGGAUACGAACUCUGAACACAUGUUCGGAGUUGGAAAGUUUUUCGGAAAGGGAUGGAGUCGCGGCCUAUCAGCUUGUUGGUGAGGUAACGGCUCACCAGGCGACGACGGGUAGCCGGCCUGGGAGGGCGACCGGCCACACUGGGACUGGGACACGGCACAGACUCCUACGGGAGGCAGCAGUGGGGAAUAUUGCACAAUGGGCGAAAGCCUGAUGCAGCGACGCCGCGUGAGGGAUGAAGGUCUUCGGAUUGUAAACCUCUUUCAGUAGGGACGAAGCGAAAGUGACGGUACCUAAAGAAGAAGCACCGGCUAACUACGUGCCAGCCGCCGCGGUAA